rnacentral:rRNA from 1 species
UACGUAGGGUGCAAGCGUUGUCCGGAAUUAUUGGGCGUAAAGAGCUCGUAGGCGGUUUGUCGCGUCUGCUGUGAAAACUCGGGGCUUAACUCCGGGCCUGCAGUGGGUACGGGCAGACUAGAGUGCGGUAUGGGAGACUGGAAUUCCUGGUGUAGCGGUGAAAUGCGCAGAUAUCAGGAGGAACACCGGUGGCGAAGGCGGGUCUCUGGGCCGUAACUGACGCUGAGGAGCGAAAGCGUGGGGAGCGAACAGG